UGGCCAGACUCCUACGGGAGGCAGCAGUAGGGAAUCUUUCACAAUGGGCGAAAGCCUGAUGGAGCAACGCCGCGUGCAGGAUGAAGGCCUUCGGGUUGUAAACUGCUUUUAUAAGCGAGAAAUAUGAUGGUAACUUAUGAAUAAGGAUCGGCUAACUACGUGCCAGCAGCCGCGGUAAUACGUAGGGAGCAAGCGUUGUCCGGAAUUACUGGGCGUAAAGGGCGCGUAGGUGGGCGCUUAAGUCAGGUGUGAAAACUCCGGGCUCAACCUGGAGACUGCACUUGAAACUGGGUGUCUUGAGGGCAGGAGAGGAAAGUGGAAUUCCUAGUGUAGCGGUGAAAUGCGUAGAUAUUAGGAGGAACACCAGUGGCGAAGGCGACUUUCUGGACUGUACCUGACGCUGAGGCGCGAAAGCGUGGGUAGCGAACGGGAUUAGAUACCCUUGUAA
rnacentral:rRNA from 1 species